rnacentral:rRNA from 2 species
UUCUGGUGCUUCGGCGGCGGGGUCACACCCGGUCCCAUUCCGAACCCGGCAGUUAAGCCCGCUAGCGGCGAUGGUACUUGCCUUGACCGGCAGGGAGAGUAGCUAGGCGCCAGAAC